AAACAUAUGCAAAGAAAUGAGUAAAAUAGAAAGUUAAAAAGGCUUUUUAGCAAGUAAAAUUGAAAGUGCAAUGUAUUUAAGAAAGUGAGAAAAUUAAAUUGAAAGUUAUUUAAGAUCAGAUCAACAGACUCUCUGGAACCCAAGUCGGGACUACAACCCGACCUAAAGGACAAUAUUCUAGGACUCUAACCCAGCUUCUAGGACUCUAGCCCAGCAACCUUUCUCUCUGGUAUCAGAUCAUGUAUUUUUCUGGUAAAAAUAGAAAAUAAAGGGAAAGUUAAAAAGGCAUUUUAGUAAAAUAAUGGUACACGUAUCAACAUUGACAAACUAACAAAGAUGAACAAAUCACUUGGAUGACAUGCUAUUACAAUAUUCUAGGACUCUAACCCUUAUACAAAUACAAAAAAUACAAACAAACUCAGGACUCUAACCCUUAUACAAAUACAAACAAAACUCAGGACUCUAACCCUUAUACAAAUACAAACUCAGGAGCAGAAAGCUAAAGCAAACAUAAAAGUCUUCAAUCUUGUUUUGAAGGUGCUCAGAGUUGGGGCAAGUCUUAAAUCCUCAGGGAGUUUAUUCCAGCUAUUUGUUGCAUAGUAACUAAAUCCUGCUUUCCCAUGUUUCGUGUUUGCUCUGGGGAUCAUUAACAGAUUGGUCUCAGAAGAUCUUAGUGUUCUAGAAGGCUUAUGUAGUGGAAGCAUAUCAGUUAAAUAUUUUGGGCCUAAACCAUGUAGGGAUUUAUAGGUUAGCAACAUGAUUUUAAAAUCAAUUCUCUGACCUACAGGAAGCCAAUGUAACGAUUUAAGAAUUGGUGUAAUAUGUUCAAAUUUUUUGGUCUUUGUUAAAACUCUAGCAGCAGCUUUCUGAACAAGCUGAAGCUUCCUUAGAGUUUGUUUUGGGAGACCUGUAAGGAGACCAUUGCAGUAAUCAAGCUUACUAGUGAUAAAGGCAUGUACAAGUUUUUGUAAGUCUUCGGUGGACAUGAGCCCUCUAAGUCUUGCUACAUUUUUAAGGUGAUAAUAUGCAGAUUUUGUAACUGAUUUGAUGUGACUUUCGAAAUGUAAAUCAGAAGCAGGGGUCAUAGAGUGUCCAGUGAAGCCCAUUGAGACUG
rnacentral:lncRNA from 1 species